ACGACUUUACUUCUGAGCAUCUUGUUCUUGGCUGCAAACUGCCAGAUGUAAUGUUGUGC
rnacentral:pre_miRNA from 1 species